rnacentral:rRNA from 1 species
UACGUAGGGGGCUAGCGUUGUCCGGAAUCAUUGGGCGUAAAGCGCGUGUAGGCGGCCCGAUAAGUCCGCUGUGAAAGUCCAGGGCUCAACCCUGGGAUGCCGGUGGAUACUGUCGGGCUCGAGUCCGGAAGAGGCGGGUGGAAUUCCUGGUGUAGCGGUGAAAUGCGCAGAUAUCAGGAGGAACACCAAUGGCGAAGGCAGCUCGCUGGGACGUGACUGACGCUGAGACGCGAAAGCGUGGGGAGCAAACAGG